rnacentral:rRNA from 1 species
AGCAGUAGCCGCGGGAAUACAGAGGGUGCAAGCGUUAAUCGGAGUUACUGGGCGUAAAGGGCGCGUAGGCGGUUAUAUAAGUGAGAUGUGAAAUCCCUGGGCUUAACCUAGGAACUGCAUCUUAUACUGUAUGGCUAGAGUAUUGUAGAGGGUAGUGGAAUUUCCGGUGUAGCGGUGAAAUGCGUAGAGAUCGGAAGGAACACCAGUGGCGAAGGCGGCUACCUGGACAAAUACUGACGCUGAGGCGCGAAAGCGUGGGGAGCAAACAGGAUUAGAUACCCGCGUAGUCCCUGUCUCUUAUAU